CACAAAUGUCUUCAUGUGACUCCAGCUUCAGAAGACACAAGAUUGAGAUGGAUUGAGUUCAUAUAUGAUGGCAACGUUCCUGCCACCACUUUGAAUCGGACUGUUUUAUCAACCUGGGCCAAUAUAACGCUGGAUUCUCUAAAAGGUUGUUAUUGAAAGAGGGGUCGGUGCCAUCUUUCCAUCGCAAUACUGAAGACGAGGGAAAUGCAAGCACAUCUGUUCACGGUGCUAGGCUACAUCACGUAGCAUGCCAGACGGACCCACCACAGAUGCGCACACAUGGAACGCAGCUUUCUAUGAAAACACUGCGACCUCACUACAAACGUACAGGCACACAGAAAACUGUGCUGCACUGAUGUUGGUGUUGGGACCUCAGCUGUAAGAGACCUCGCUUGGAGGAGGGAGAGGACAACCCAAGUUGUUCAAGUAUGGACUUCGGAGAGCCACAGGAUGCUACCUAUGAUCCUGAUGACUCAAUCACAGUCUUGACUGAGUCAGCAGAUGU